rnacentral:lncRNA from 1 species
AAAGCCUAUUCUGCAGCACAAAAUGCACAUCUACUUCAUGCUUAAAAGUAAAUUGAAAAAUAUUUGUUCCUUUUACAGCAACCUGAAAUCUUCUUUUAGUCGCCCAUGACUUUUUCAGAGUAGCUUUAAUUGUGUUUGUUGGGAAAAUUUUAGUGAAGAUGACUUUCCCCACUAAAAUAAGCUUCUGAGUGGUUAAGUGGGUUGUAUAAUCAGAUGCUAGUUGGAGUGUUGGCUCUGAACAUUGCAGAAUUUUGGCUUUAUUAAUAAGAUCAUUAAUAGUUAAGCCAAGAUCAUUCAUGGUUGUUGGAAGGAACAAAGGUUGUGGGGUAGGAAGAGAUAAAAGAGAGAGAUCAUAAUGGAGGACGCUAAUUGGUAGGCGAAGAAGAGUAAAGAAGAAUGCUAUGGAGCUGGAUAUAAAAACCAGAGAGAACACAAAGCCAAUUCUCAUACGCAUUCAUUGGUAUAGAAGUUACCAAGCUAGCAUAUUUACUGCGCUAUGCUUUAACGAGAGGUAGCACUUGCACCAAUGUCACUUCACUAUCAUUCUUCAAAAUUCAGGACGUUUUAAUAUAAAAUUUCCUGAUCGUCGACGGGAAUUCACGAUCAUGGUUGGCCAAUCAGUUCCAUCCGUAGGAUCAUCUUCAAGAUGUUCUGUAAAUUUACAAGUUCACAUCACUUGUGGUUUUUUAAAUUCUUCUGAUAUGCAUGUUGUUAACGUAAACUUCGGCUUUAAUUACAUCAUGGCUGUUAAUUUUUUUAUUUAGAGUAAGGCUAUAGAGAAUGCCAGGUAGAAUGUGUUUACAACUAUCAGAUUAAAUACUUGUACAUAUAGAUUCGUACAUUCAUAGCUAUGUAAUAAGCAUUUAUUUCCAAGGGAUGAUUAUCUUUGCUUCAGUGCACUGUUUAUGCAUUAAUGGCUGCUUGAAUUUGUUCCAGAGUUCGGCCUUUGGUUUCUGGUACCACUUUGGCUAUGAACAAAAUACCCAGAGCAUUGACUAC